UCUCCACAGUCUGACGGAAAACGCGUCGCUCUUGUUUCUCUCACACAGCCCUGGCAUCCUCCGAAACCCUACCCUCUCGCGUCACAUUUUUUGGCGGCGGCGGUGGCUCCCCACGCGCCCCUCUUCCCCGCGUUCUCACAAAGCCUCUCCAGGCCACCAGCGGAUCGGAAUCUCUCCAAUACAUGGCAUCUCUCCCCUCGAAGAAACCCUAGAUGUGGUCACGGUCUGAUGCGGGAGGUGCUACGCCCGCCAUGGUCAUUGACGGACGGAGCUCUAGAGGCAGCGGUAGCUCGACAUCGACGGCGACGGCGACGGCGGCCGGACAGGGAAGAAGGACGUGACCGAACUUAGAGAACGACCGGCAGAGAGAACAUGCUCCAUCCCAUGACCCGCGCCGCUGCUCCAACCACUGCUUCGGCAGCUGCUGCUGGUUCAUCUACUUGCCCGGGCCGCUGCAGCUCCAACCCAUGAAAACAAGUUACGGCGAAGUCAAAGAAUACGGAGAAAGAAAAAUCAGAGAAGGAGGCAUCAUUGCAGUUACUGCAGGUGGAGCAAGGAGGAACAAUCAGCAGAUCUAGCAUUUAUUUUGCUUAAGCUACAGGUUAUUGUUAUAAUAAACAGUGUGCCUUCAUUCAAUAGGCUAUCAUGGAGCUCUUAUUGGGCAUGGUACAAUAGCCUAUUUGCAGUUGUCUGGGUUGAUGCAUUUGAAAAUUGGUAUCCAAAACUUGCUUCAUGUAUUUGCAGUUGUAGCUAGAUGAUGACAAAUUGGAUCCUCAACAACACCCCAUUGUAUAGAGGUUUUUUCACGGCAAGAGCAUUUGUGUAUUUUGAAAUGCUUGGUCAUGACCUGUAAGCAUCUUCCAUCAGGCAUGUAUUCACUAAUACUUCUACAACUAUUCCCUUUGUUAGUUGAAUAAUGAGUAACGUGGUAACUUAAACUCCCACUUUAUAGGUAUGUGCUAGAGAAAGAAUGGCUUCACAAGUUUACGACAAAACUUUGACAUGUUAGGUCUCAUUUCCAGAUGAUGUUAAAUUUCGUAUGUAUAUGUCACCAACUUACGAUAUUAUAUCCAUGGCGCACUCUGUUUAGAUAUUAGUGUAUUGGUUGUCCAUGAAGAUGUUGGCAUUGUUCACAGAAGCUAAAACCAAAAUUAUCCCGUGAUUCCAAAGUCAGUUUCUUCCCCUCAAAAUAAGCACUUGCUAUGAUUACCAUUAGUAUGCUAUUACUUCUGGCCAUGGUUAUGCUUGAUGGGUGAGGUGCUCAUCAUUUAUUUGGUUUUAAUUGGUUGUAACAAUCAGUCGAUGGCAUUAUGCAUCACCAUCAUGUUUCUGGCUUAUUGAAAUAUGCUUCAUGUAGUUAUCAUUGUUCCUAUAAUUGCUCUUGAUUUCUUGAACCAUCAUGUUCUGGUGUGGUACUGGUAUGUUCGUGUUUGCCCAUAACACAUAGUUUCCUUCGUGUGGGAUUUUCCUCUAUUACCACUUGCCAUUUCUCAUAGAAAGAAAUUCAAGGUUGAUGCAUUCCGUGUCAAUUAAGCACCAUCUUUUCCUCUUUUUGAGAUAAUUGGCUUGUUUGGUAGUCCUACUCUUGAGCGCUACUGAUGGUUAGAAGUGAUCUGUACAUACAAAAUGGUUAGGUAAAUAUCGUGUUGUUGGUUAGAAUCAUGGGCAUAUGAAUCAAAAUUAAUUGUUGUUUCGGAAAUGAUACUUCAUUUUAUCAUAUAUGGUGACCCUUUUUACGAGAUUAUGUUGAUCCUUUGGUUGGGGUAGUUUCUUCGGUUCCCUGUGGUUCAGCCAGUCUGCAACAGUGUUGACCAUGGCUACAAUAGCUGAAGGGUCUUAUUAUCUAAAUAUGGCUUUCAAAAAAAUCCUGUAGACUUCUUGGGCAAUUUUUUUUUUGGCAGCUUGAGUUGUUCCAGGCUGCGGGGUUUCUCAUGGCUUACUUGUAGCUACAAUUUUGCUCCAUCGUGUUGUAUGACUUAAGUUGGACGCUUAGCCUGGUUACCAUUUUGUUUGUGCACCAAAUUGUAGCUCCAUUUUGGUCUUCUUGUAUCUUGAAUGACUGACAAACUUAUAUCCGGCAGAUAUAUGCACUUGACAGUGUAAGCUGAGAUCUUACCAGUCGCUUUUUUGGAUUAUUAGUUUUUUUCAGUGCUAAGAUUACGUACUAAAUAUCGCUAGCGUUUUCUCUUCUCAAGUUACAUAUAUAGUUGAAUAUAGAGGUGGUUAUUCUGCAGAUCAGCAACAUAGUGGUUCUUCAUGAAUAUGAGUUUCCCAGAAGCAGUGUGAAUUAACUACUGGUGUCGUAGCAUUUUGUGUAGGAUUAUAGGUACAAUGGUUCAUGUUCUACAUAAAUUAGGAUUUUGUGUAGCAUUUUUUCAUAUUGUUCAUGAAUAUGAGUUUCUCACAAGCAGGGUGAGUUCCUCACAAUGCCCACUGGUUCCAUACUUCGUAUUUCCUGUCUCCAUCAAAUUUAUGUAUAUCUUUCUCUGAGUUCAAUCUCUGUUUGCCUAUAUUGUUGACUUUAUAGCUACAGUAUACAUACAUGAUUGUGCAGUUUUACCUAUUUAAUAUAUUAUUGGAAAUCAUGGAUCUAAAUAAAGGUUACAUUGGCGAUUGAUCAUUUGUAGAAUGCUUCCACUGAGAUAUGUGACUAGAUAUUUACUUGUGGUUUUGUUGCUAAUGCUAAGUAAUCGACAUAACAAACUUGCAUCCAUUCUUCAGUUGGAUAGGCCGGAAGGUUGGAAAGUGUGAUUGGAUGGUAUCAUUCACACCUUCGUUAUGGAUGAUGGUUGGCAUACAUGCUGGACGACAGUCGGAGCGAGGCAAACUGCAUACUGGAAAACAGCCGGAGCAAGGCCUCGAGGACUAGGCCAACUGCCAUGGACUACAAUCAGGGCAGCGCCGCCGCCAAGCAGCCACUGACACACAAUUGCCUGCGAAGCAUGAGAUAUUUAAGCUAACAAAUGGUUAAUUGGUUUCAGCGCAUAGGGUGGCCAUUGGUGAGGGCAUACAGGAGGAACACCUUCCAAGCAACAGUAGCAGUCAAGAAGGGUGAGAAGCUAUUUCUGAAGGUGAGGAUUGAUGGGGUGCCAUACAUUAGUAAGGUCACCCUCCGGAUGUACAAGGGGUAUUUGGAGUUUAGAGAGGCGCUAGAUUUGCUCUUCUCUGCCCAGUCCUUCUGACCAGCUCGCCGUUGCUUGCUUGUGGAAAAUGUGUCAUGUGAGUAAAUACCAUAUCUCCCCCAUCUUGUCCUGCUUGAGUGCUCAGUGAUAUUUCCGCUUAUUAUAGUCUUGAAUGGAUGUAUUAUUUUCACCUGAUCUCUGAACUGUAGAUUGUUAAUGCACUUCUUUGGAGAGAGGAAACUGUUGCUUCUGUUGGUUAAUUUAUAAGCUUUACAUCUUUCAUGUUGGUCGUUUUACAUGUAUUGACAAGUUGAUGAGAUUUGGAGACAUGAGCUCUAUAAGAACUCUGUAGGAACUCAAAGUCCAUGGUUAAGCUGUAAUUGCUUCCAGAAAUCUUCAAUCAAUUCAAAAAUCACAUUCGAAGCAAAGGACCAAGGUCACUUGAUGACUCCCAUCAGAUAAAGUCAAGAUAUUGAGCUAAGGAUCGAACCAUGCAUUGGUCAAAUUCCCUAAUAUUUGUUCAGAUUGUAUGAUUGUGUGGAUCUACCAUUUGUAAUAAUGUAUUAUAUUCCACAUCGGUGGGACUACCUUCUUACAAGUAUGCGAGCUGCAUGUAUUCUCUGAUGUAAUCUUGGAUCCUAUAUAAAUGCAAUUACAACUAUUUUUUA